AGAGUCAGAAGUCAGAGCUUUGCUGUGAGACCAGCAUCCACGCGGAUGUGCCCCAGGCUACAUUCAGCUGCGUUCCUAUUGCUAAAGACCUGAACACAAAUCUGUCUGGCAUUUGAGGCAAAAAGGAAACCUGAUUUUACUGUAAACAUCCCAACCUUGUCAUGCAGAUGCUGGGAGACUGUAUGAUGUCAAACUGUAAUCAGAGGAAGCCACCAACAAGCUGUGCUGCUGCAGUCAUGGGCUAAGAAUCCAUCGUAUUCCAUCUAUACCUCUGUCCACACUUACUGUCUGUAUUCCAGUCAAUAAACUGAUUUUUUUCUGGCCAUCUCCACUGUACAUUUUUAUUCUCAUUUUGUGGCAUAUUAUUAGAUCAUUUUCAGCAAUCUAUGGCUGAAUUUGUUCUUCAUGGGCAAAGAAUUUCUG
ensembl:lncRNA